CUGCGGUGACGUCCUCAGCCAGGGUCGCUAACUGUGGCGACUCAGUCAUGUUGAGGCUGCCGGAGGAGGACAGGUGGCUGUCCCGGUUGCGGCUGGGGGACACCGUGCCGGACACGACUGGCGACUGGACACUGAUCUCGGCUCCUUGGUCCCCCCGGGCCUUGGCCUGGUCGCGGAACGCCAGCCUGUGGGUCUCGAUCUAAUAAAAGAAGAUGGCGCGAGGGGAGAAGUGGAUAGAAGGGAAGAAAUACACCAUGUUCGUUAUGUGUCAAAUAAAAAAUAUAGGAAUGCUUAUUUGUGAGUUCACUUGAGAUCAACUGCAAAUGAUGUUUAACUUCAGAGUCUGUUUUGAAGUCGUCACUCAAAGGACGGAUUGAGGACACUCACCGGGAUGUGGCCUCCACCAGGCAUGUGGCGAGAAUAAUCCAGGGAACCCACUUUGGCUUGGGCCUUGUCUUUAAAGUCCAACUUCACAGUCUCUAUACGCACGUGACCGCCCCCUGGGAAGAAGCAGAGUUAGUGUAAGAAACAUAUAGAGGAAUAACUACUGCAGUUGCAGGCCUCCGUUAACCACGUGUACGUCAUUUUUUUCCAGAUUCAUAUAAGGUAAUUUCAUCCUUGAUAGUAAUAAAGUCCUGAAAGAGUGUUUGUGUGCCCAGAGUCAGACACCUGACGGCCAGCAGAUGGUGCUGCAGGAGGAAAAGGAGUCACCACAAAACCAGCCCCACACAGUGGAGGGGAGAAGAAUUGAAUUCAAAGUGAUAAAUGCCCAAAACCAACUCAUGAAAACAGGCUAUGGACUGUUUAUUUAUUCGCCUGCUAUGUAGACUUAAGUGGCCUAAUAAUGAUUUCUCUCUGAUGAAUAAGGUCAACUGAAUGGAUUGAAUUUGCCCCCCGGCUCAGAGACCUUGCAUUAGCAUCGAUUCUUCUUCACACAGAUAUGAUAUCCAGAUAUAGAUUUACCAUAUCCAGAAACAGAUCGCGUGCUUAUGCAAGUGUAAACUGGAUGCUUGAGUAGGAUCUUGUAGGUUACCAGGUCGAUGAUGGAUGUUGUCAAGAGAGCCACACUUGGAGGUCACAUGGCUCAAGUCAAUCUUCUUGUACUGUAUCUGCACCUGAGAGAAACAGGAAAAACCCCAGUCAGAGCUUGCAGUUACAAAAUGAGGCUAGGAGUCAUCUAUCUUCCCUUUACGCAUUACAGAGAAGAAUAUAAUGCAUCUGAUCUGCCCUCAUCUUGAGAUUGUCUUGAACGAAAAGCUGCAGCUAUCUACAUUCUGACAGUGAGGUCAGAUUGUACUUAAUUCUUUGAAAACACGAGUAAGACAGCACAAGAGCAGAAAACCAGUGACCAUUACAUGACAGUCCUUGUGCUCUGCUGGGAGGCGACCUGCUGGUGUCUGUUCAACCAGCUCAACCAAGACUGAACACGAGCUAUGUGGGUGCCGGGACUGAACUUUGAGCUCAAAUGUGUCGGGCACUUUCAAAGGACCUGUCAGAUAUACUGUACACCACAACUCUGAUCAGUGUUUUUAGUUGAAAGUGGCCACAGGCGGAGAGUAGAUAUAUAUGCGGCUAUGUGACCCACCCUGGGGAUUUGAAGAGCAAACCCCAUGAGAGAUACUAAAGGAGUGAACCGAUGAGACAGCAAACAGAGCGGAGAUAUAAAGCUUAAAGCACAGCACAACGAACAUGAGGAGAUACACGACAAACACUGGGUCACGCCUGUGGUCAUCCAUCACUUUGCCAAGUCACAGAUUCAGCUGAAAACUAUUUUCAACAGGAAAAGUGAGAUGAACAACACUGACCAUGAGCCGCAUGAGAAGCCACGAAACCAGUCUGCACUGGAGCAUGUUCAUCUACCCAGUGUUCUUUACACAUGCACAACACCAGCAAAGAUGAGAUGUGGUUUGUGUCGGCGUGGGUGAACAUCAGGCUGCUGCUUGGCUAACUUCUCCAGCAGGGAUAUCUAGCAUUUUGUUUGAUGUUUUUCUUUAUUUUCAUUGUUUAUAAAUAAUAAAAACAUCUGGUUUUA